CCCAGCUUCAACAAAAAAAGCUCGUUUAGCCUAAAUAGAAUCAUCAAUUCUCUCUAAUUUCUUGAUGGUACUGCUACAACUACAAUACAAAAAUAGUAGACCAAGCGUGGUUUUUUUACGCCAUGUCGGGGGUGCUGUUUGAGUUGUGGUAGGGAUUUUCCUUUCUGGGCAUCGUUUUUUCCUUUUGCUACUUUUGUUUCUGUCCGGACUCUUGCGAUGUUCCUGGAAAUGAGUAAUCCUGUUCAAAAUAUCUAUGCUGAGACGGAUGCGAAGAAAGUCACAGCGAAAGCAAUCCCAGCACCUUGCUAUUUGAGGACGCUGCAUAGGGUGGCUCCAAAUACAGAGACUCAGUAUCAAGCUAUAAGGAGGCGACAUGAUUGGGAAGAAGCAGCAUAACAAAGAUUAGAUGUUCGUCACAAAAACAGAGUAGAAGGCGAAAGGUGGGAGGACCCAAAAUCCAAAGAUUGCCAUUGAGAGCUCCUACAAGCUCUUGAAUCGAGAAGGAUGAAAAUACCUAUGUUAGCCAAAUUGAGAGGUAAUGUUAUGAAUUUCAUCUCUUAAUUUUUUGAUGCAAGUCUGAAUGAUCAGAACUAUUAUGACUUUGAUUAUUGUUGGAAGAAUAGAGCUUCUUUUUUUUUUUUGGGAGAAAUUGACAGAAUUAAAGGAGGAGUAUAAGUAUAGCAAAAACUUCGAGCUAAAUCUCACCAAUUUUUGUAUCCAUAUUUUAUUUUGCCCUCACUGUGAAUCUCUCUCCCCUUCUAAAAUUUCAAAUGGUGGAGAGACUGCUUUGAUGUUCAUAUCUUGUGUAACGUCUAUUCUUGUGGGUGGAAGUUAAAAGGAAUGUGGUAAUCUUACUGAUAUGUUAUAUACUUAAUUGCUUCAUGUUUCCAUUAUAUGUAAGCUUUUCAGGACUUAUUGUAGUCACUGACAAGCUUUGGUUUUGGGAAUUUUGAGUUGUCAAGUUAAUGACAAAUAACAUAAUGGGAAGAGUUCAUCUCAAUAGUAGCUAAAUCAGUUGACAUUGAUAAAAUCAUGAUGUCCGUAACUACGACGAAAUUGAUAUUGGGCUGAAUAAAUUGUUCAUGUCAAUAACAGCAACAAUUGUUAUCUAUCCCUUCUUCAACUUAUUUCACACAUCUCAUUUUUGUUUAUAGAACUCUAGACUAAUUUGUGCAUCCGCAAUGCUUAAUUUGCUGCUCUCUCUCUUUUAUUUAUUGAAUUUGUUUGGCUCAAUCUUUAUGCUUUCUUUGUACUGCUGCUUUAGCAUCUGAAACAAUGAAAUGCAGAAAGUUGAAGUUUCCCUCUUUUGGAAGGAAGUCUUACUUAGUGAGGUUUGUUGAGCUUUUACUUCCCUUAAAAAAUUAUUAGUUUUGAUAUAUAGUCUUUGAAUCUGCAACGUAAUAUAUAGGGCUAUUUGAAACUUGUGGUCUGAUAAUGAGUGAUGUGUGCAAUUAGCAAACUUCUGUGGGAAUUAGUAUGAUUUGAUGCUUGCUUGAUUUAGGUUUCCCUACACACCAUAAUUUUCCCACUCUUGACUAUUCCAUUGUAAUUAUUUGAUCAUGUGCUUGUUGGAACUUCAAAUGUUGCAAAACCAUGAACUCCUCAGUUAAAAAUUAGAACUCCCUUCUAUCCAUUUCUCUCUUCGUUUAGAGGCCAAGGCAAUAGAUCAAUCAUCAAUAUGCCUGCAUCUUUGUUGACCUCGUAAUUUCUUUUGCAUUUUGUUUUGUUUGGGUCUAUAUUUUUUCCCCGUUUUUGCAAAAGCAAUGGAUUCCACCCUUGUAAUCUAUAUUCUGAAAAACAAAUGCAACACAAGAGACAUUGUAGGAUUAUUAGUACACAAGAUGUUGCACGUAGCUUCUUGCAGGAUUUAGAAAGAGCAUAUAAGGGGCCACUCAAAAAGAAGUGUGGGGAAUUGGUUUUGACUUGGGAUUUUGGGUAAUUGCUUUAGAGUGGCUUCUGACGGUUCAAAUACCCCCAAAAAAUAUAAUAAUUUUUAUAUAUUCAAUCAAUGCAUGCUCUUGCUCACAUAUAUUUAUAUAUAGAUGGGUGUAUUUUUUUUUUUUUCAUUUUCUAUCCCUUUAUCUCAGUGUGUUUCUUAAUCAACGUUGUUAGUGUUAUUGGCUUUGGAGGAACCCUUAUAAAUCUUGUGAUUUUGGACUGACCAUCAAAUAAUUGUUCUAAUUUCAUCUCUUUCCUAUUUUUCUGCCUAUUGGCAUCUUUUUACACCUUAUCUGAAAUUACAUAGAACCUCAUGAUUAUUUCAAACGCGUCCAAUAGUCUAAUUUUGGUUUCUAAAUUCUUUGAUUUUGCCAAGUGCCCAAGUGGUUUGAUUUAGUGAAGUCAAAGUUGUAGGUGAAACCUAAUCUUUUUAAUUGCUUUAUCAUUCUGGUAAACUGAUAUGCUCAUUGUUGAAUAUACGCAACUUUUUGUGAUCUGCGAGAAUCAGAAACAUGUUUUGAGGUUGCAGAAAAUUUUUAUUAACUAUAUUGCAGCGUUACUUGCUUAAGAAGAAGCAACAUGGAGUUUACUGCAGAAUCUCUUAAAUACUCCAAAAUGGCAAAUUAAAAUAUUUUUUGUUAUUACCUAUAAAAAUAAUAUUAUCAUAUUUACUUAAGAAAGUUGUUGGAGUCUUCCAAGUGACAUCUGAUAUCUUGUUUUAUGCUCAAAUGUUUAAAAUUUAACCUUUAAGUAGUUGACAAAUUAAAAGGUUCACUUGCAGAAUGCAGCAUCACAUAUAGACCCUCUUUAUUUUUCACAAAUCUCUUUUAUAAUAUACUUAUUACAUGUCCAAUUUUUUGGGGGAUAAAAAACAAAAUUAGAAAUCCAUGUGCAAGCUAUGGCCUUGGGACAAAUCUGGGAUUUGAGGGGGUUUGAUUUCCUUAUUAUGAGACUGCAUUGUAAAUUCUAGGAAACAUUUAACUAUUGGUUUAGUGUAUAAUAGCCAGGGCUGUGUGAAAAAGUUUUGGAGCCUAAAACAAAAUUAUUUAAGAGGCCUAACAUAUUUUCAUUAAUCUAUUUUCAUAUUAUUUUUUUUCAAUUUGUUAAAAUCAUAUUCAACAUUUUUGCCGCUCCAAAUUUUAUAAAAAAAAAAUUACAACAAUCACAAUUUCAAACAAAAC